ACUUGCCUUACAAGCAAGGGGUCGCAGGUUCGAACCCUGCAUCCUCCACCAUUAACUUUAUA
rnacentral:tRNA from 1 species